AAAUUGAAGAGUUUGAUCAUGGCUCAGAUUGAACGCUGGCGGCAGGCCUAACACAUGCAAGUCGAACGGUAGCACAGAGAGCUUGCUCUCGGGUGACGAGUGGCGGACGGGUGAGUAAUGUCUGGGAAACUGCCUGAUGGAGGGGGAUAACUACUGGAAACGGUGGCUAAUACCGCAUAACGUCGCAAGACCAAAGAGGGGGACCUUCGGGCCUCUUGCCAUCAGAUGUGCCCAGAUGGGAUUAGCUUGUUGGUGAGGUAACGGCUCACCAAG
rnacentral:rRNA from 1 species